rnacentral:rRNA from 1 species
AUUGAACGCUGGCGGCAGGCUUAACACAUGCAAGUCGAGCGGAGCGAGGGUGCUUGCACCUUAGCUUAGCGGCGGACGGGUGAGUAAUGCUUAGGAAUCUGCCUAUUAGUGGGGGACAACAUUCCGAAAGGAAUGCUAAUACCGCAUACGCCCUACGGGGGAAAGCAGGGGAUCUUGGGACCUUGCGCUAAUAGAUGAGCCUAAGUCAGAUUAGCUAGUUGGUGGGGUAAAGGCCUACCAAGGCGACGAUCUGUAGCGGGUCUGAGAGGAUGAUCCGCCACACUGGGACUGAGACACGGCCCAGACUCCUACGGGAGGUAGCAGUGGGGAAUAUUGGACAAUGGGCGCAAGCCUGAUCCAGCCAUGCCGCGUGUGUGAAGAAGGCCUUUUGGUUGUAAAGCACUUUAAGCGAGGAGGAGGCUACUGGUAUUAAUACUACCGGAUAGUGGACGUUACUCGCAGAAUAAGCACCGGCUAACUCUGUGCCAGCAGCCGCGGUAAUAC